GUGAAUCAUCGAAUUUUUGAACGCAAAUUGCACUCUCCUCGGAGAGUAUGGCUAUGUGAGUUCCAGCCUAUAAAAAAUCGACAACGUUGCUUUUUCGCGGGGGCGCUCUCCGGAAAUUGGGUCAUCUUAAAUCUUUUGGUUUUAAGCGACUUAAAAUCUUCUGUUUGGUUCCAUGAACGUUUCUACGAUUUAGUUCUGUACACGUUUAAGGUAUCGAUUUUUAUUGGACGUGACCAUCAUAUGGGAACGCGCCCAUAUUCUUUAAUUAACUGACCUCAGACAGGUAA
rnacentral:misc_RNA from 1 species